AGUCAAGAGUUUCGGAUACGCACGCCACGCGCAAACCCGAUCUCUCCAACCUUGCGAAGGCGAAGCCCCCGUGAGAUCUCCGGCCGCCGCCGCCGCCGCCAUGGACGCCGUCGACUCGGUGGUCGACCCGCUGCGCGAGUUCGCCAAGGACAGCGUCCGCCUCGUCAAGCGCUGCCACAAGCCCGACCGCAAGGAGUUCACCAAGGUGGCGGCGAGGACGGCGAUCGGGUUCGUCGUCAUGGGCUUCGUCGGCUUCUUCGUCAAGCUCAUCUUCAUCCCCAUCAACAACAUCAUCGUCGGAUCCGGCUGAUUUGAGCACUAAGGUAUAUAUAUAUAUAUUCUCUCGUCAUGAUCUGCCUCGAUCUGGUUGCUUCGUGUCGAUCGAUCUCCGUGUGCAUCCGGUUGUGUUUGUGGAUGCGAUGU
rnacentral:lncRNA from 1 species